GGUUAAGCGACUAAGCGUACACGGUGGAUGCCCUGGCAGUCAGAGGCGAUGAAGGACGUGCUAAUCUGCGAAAAGCGUCGGUAAGGUGAUAUGAACCGUUAUAGCCGGCGAUGUCCGAAUGGGGAAACCCAGUGUGAUUCGUCACACUAUCGUUAACUGAAUACAUAGGUUAACGAGGCGAACCGGGGGAACUGAAACAUCUAAGUACCCCGAGGAAAAGAAAUCAACCGAGAUUCCCCCAGUAGCGGCGAGCGAACGGGGAGCAGCCCAGAGUCUGAAUCAGCUUGUGUGUUAGUGGAACGGUCUGGAAAGUCCGACGGUACAGGGUGAUAGUCCCGUACACCAAAAUGCACAGGCUGUGAACUCGAAGAGUAGGGCGGGACACGUGGUAUCCUGUCUGAAUAUGGGGGGACCAUCCUCCAAGGCUAAAUACUCCUGACUGACCGAUAGUGAACCAGUACCGUGAGGGAAAGGCGAAAAGAACCCCGGCGAGGGGAGUGAAAAAGAACCUGAAACCGUGUACGUACAAGCAGUGGGAGCACCUUCGGGUGUGACUGCGUACCUUUUGUAUAAUGGGUCAGCGACUUAUAUUCUGUAGCAAGGUUAACCGUAUAGGGGAGCCGCAGGGAAACCGAGUCUUAACUGGGCGUUAAGUUGCAGGGUAUAGACCCGAAACCCGGUGAUCUAGCCAUGGGCAGGUUGAAGGUUGGGUAACACUAACUGGAGGACCGAACCGACUAAUGUUGAAAAAUUAGCGGAUGACUUGUGGCUGGGGGUGAAAGGCCAAUCAAACCGGGAGAUAGCUGGUUCUCCCCGAAAGCUAUUUAGGUAGCGCCUCGUGAAUUCAUCUUCGGGGGUAGAGCACUGUUUCGGCUAGGGGGUCAUCCCGACUUACCAACCCGAUGCAAACUACGAAUACCGAAGAAUGUUAUCACGGGAGACACACGGCGGGUGCUAACGUCCGUCGUGAAGAGGGAAACAACCCAGACCGCCAGCUAAGGUCCCAAAGUCAUGGUUAAGUGGGAAACGAUGUGGGAAGGCACAGACAGCCAGGAUGUUGGCUUAGAAGCAGCCAUCAUUUAAAGAAAGCGUAAUAGCUCACUGGUCGAGUCGGCCUGCGCGGAAGAUGUAACGGGGCUAAACCAUGCACCGAAGCUGCGGCAGCGACACUAUGUGUUGUUGGGUAGGGGAGCGUUCUGUAAGCCUGCGAAGGUGACCUGUGAGGGUUGCUGGAGGUAUCAGAAGUGCGAAUGCUGACAUAAGUAACGAUAAAGCGGGUGAAAAGCCCGCUCGCCGGAAGACCAAGGGUUCCUGUCCAACGUUAAUCGGGGCAGGGUGAGUCGACCCCUAAGGCGAGGCCGAAAGGCGUAGUCGAUGGGAAACAGGUUAAUAUUCCUGUACUUGGUGUUACUGCGAAGGGGGGACGGAGAAGGCUAUGUUAGCCGGGCGACGGUUGUCCCGGUUUAAGCAUGUAGGCUGGUUGUCCAGGCAAAUCCGGAUAAUCAAGGCUGAGGUGUGAUGACGAGGCACUACGGUGCUGAAGUAACAAAUGCCCUGCUUCCAGGAAAAGCCUCUAAGCAUCAGGUAACAUUAAAUCGUACCCCAAACCGACACAGGUGGUCAGGUAGAGAAUACCAAGGCGCUUGAGAGAACUCGGGUGAAGGAACUAGGCAAAAUGGUGCCGUAACUUCGGGAGAAGGCACGCUGGUGUGUAGGUGAAGUCCCUGCGGAUGGAGCUGAGACCAGUCGAAGAUACCAGCUGGCUGCAACUGUUUAUUAAAAACACAGCACUGUGCAAACACGAAAGUGGACGUAUACGGUGUGACGCCUGCCCGGUGCCGGAAGGUUAAUUGAUGGGGUUAUCCGUAAGGAGAAGCUCUUGAUCGAAGCCCCGGUAAACGGCGGCCGUAACUAUAACGGUCCUAAGGUAGCGAAAUUCCUUGUCGGGUAAGUUCCGACCUGCACGAAUGGCGUAAUGAUGGCCAGGCUGUCUCCACCCGAGACUCAGUGAAAUUGAACUCGCUGUGAAGAUGCAGUGUACCCGCGGCAAGACGGAAAGACCCCGUGAACCUUUACUAUAGCUUGACACUGAACAUUGAGCCUUGAUGUGUAGGAUAGGUGGGAGGCUUUGAAGCGUGGACGCCAGUCUGCGUGGAGCCAACCUUGAAAUACCACCCUUUAAUGUUUGAUGUUCUAACGUUGGCCCCUUACCGGGGUUGCGGACAGUGUCUGGUGGGUAGUUUGACUGGGGCGGUCUCCUCCCAAAGCGUAACGGAGGAGCACGAAGGUUAGCUAAUCCUGGUCGGACAUCAGGAGGUUAGUGCAAUGGCAUAAGCUAGCUUGACUGCGAGCGUGACGGCGCGAGCAGGUGCGAAAGCAGGUCAUAGUGAUCCGGUGGUUCUGAAUGGAAGGGCCAUCGCUCAACGGAUAAAAGGUACUCCGGGGAUAACAGGCUGAUACCGCCCAAGAGUUCAUAUCGACGGCGGUGUUUGGCACCUCGAUGUCGGCUCAUCACAUCCUGGGGCUGAAGUAGGUCCCAAGGGUAUGGCUGUUCGCCAUUUAAAGUGGUACGCGAGCUGGGUUUAGAACGUCGUGAGACAGUUCGGUCCCUAUCUGCCGUGGGCGCUGGAGAAUUGAGGGGGGCUGCUCCUAGUACGAGAGGACCGGAGUGGACGCAUCACUGGUGUUCGGGUUGUCAUGCCAAUGGCACUGCCCGGUAGCUAAAUGCGGAAGAGAUAAGUGCUGAAAGCAUCUAAGCACGAAACUUGCCCCGAGAUGAGUUCUCCCUGAGACUUUAAGUCUCCUGAAGGAACGUUGAAGACGACGACGUUGAUAGGCCGGGUGUGUAAGCGCAGCGAUGCGUUGAGCUAACCGGUACUAAUGAACCGUGAGGCUUAACCUU
rnacentral:rRNA from 1 species